UACGUAGGGUGCGAGCGUUAAUCGGAAUUACUGGGCGUAAAGCGUGCGCAGGCGGUUUCGUAAGCUGGAGGGGAAAUCCCCGGGCUUAACCUGGGAAUGGCCUUCAGGACUGCGAGGCUAGAGUGCGGCAGAGGGAGGUGGAAUUCCACGUGUAGCAGUGAAAUGCGUAGAGAUGUGGAGGAACACCGAUGGCGAAGGCAGCCUCCUGGGCCAGCACUGACGCUCAUGCACGAAAGCGUGGGGAGCAAACAGG
rnacentral:rRNA from 1 species